UUUUAAACUUGCUGGGCAACUUUCAUGCUCACCCUUGCUAUAUCAUGAUAAAACAUUGCAGAUAAGGCGAAUACGGCCAGUUACAGGAAAAGGAAAAUGCCAAGUUCAGCUUGGGAUAGAAUGCACAGCUAAUUUGUAAAAGUAUGGUUGAAGAAUAGUAUUGUUAUGUGUUAGAUAGCUUAUGAUUUGUGUUUAAGUAAAGGUUACUCGACCUUGGGGAAUAGUGUGUAAUGUAAUGUAUAAACAAUUUAUGUUUAUAUCUUCCGCAAACAGUUGUAGAAAUAGCGAACCGGAUCCGCGGCGAUUCGGGACCCGGAUUCGGGGCUGCUACA
rnacentral:lncRNA from 1 species